UGGGGAAUAUUGCACAAUGGAGGGAACUCUGAUGCAGCAACGCCGCGUGCGGGAUGACGGCUUUCGGGUUGUAAACCGCUUUCAGCCACGACGAAGCUUUUGUGACGGUAGUGGUAGAAGAAGCACCGGCUAACUACGAGCCAGCAGCCGCGGUGAUACGUAGGGUGCGAGCGUUGUCCGGAAUUAUUGGGCGUAAAGAGCUUGUAGGCGGUUUGUCGCGUCGAUAGUGUAAACACGCAGCGUAACUGUGUGCCUGCUGUCGAUACGGGGUGACUAGAGGAGGGUAGGGUAGAAUGGAAUUCCCGGUGGAGCGGUGGAAUGCGCAGAUAUCGGGAGGAACACCAGUAGCGAAGGCGGUUCUCUGGACCUUUCCUGACGCUGAGAAGCGAAAGCGUGUGUAGCAAACAGG
rnacentral:rRNA from 1 species